rnacentral:rRNA from 1 species
AUACGGAGGAUCCGAGCGUUAUCCGGAUUUAUUGGGUUUAAAGGGUGCGCAGGCGGGAGAUUAAGUCGGCGGUGAAAUUUUGGAGCUCAACUGUAAAAGUGCCUUUGAAACUGGUUUUCUUGAGUGUAGAUGAAGUAGGCGGAAUUUGUGGUGUAGCGGUGAAAUGCAUAGAUAUUACGAGGAACUCCGAUUGCGCAGGCAGCUUACUAAACGACUACUGACGCUCAGGCACGAAGGCGUGGGGAUCAAACAGGAUUAGAUACCCUGGUAGUCCACGCAGUAAACGAUGAUGGCUAACCGCUGGGCGUAUCAGUUCAGUGGCCAAGCGAAAGCGAUAAGCCAUCCACCUGGGGAGUACGACCGCAAGGUUGAAACUCAAAUGAAUUGACGGGG